GCCCGGUUAGCUCUCAGCUGGUUAAAGCGUUCUCGUACUAAUAUAGCCACGAUAGCAUCAAGUUAUAUCGAGUCAUCAUGCAAAGGUCAACAGUUCAAUCCUGUUACUGGGCA